UUUUAUCACAGGAAGCCACUCAACCUUGAGAAGCUGGCAUGAAAAGAAGUCUUUUGAUACAUUUGUGAAAUUUUUGAUGUCAGGGCAGAGGUGCACAAAAGAAUGUCUAAUUGAAUGAUCUCUGAGAAGGUGGCGAUGAAUGGGGAAAGAUCACAGCUGGCUGAUGCAUAAUUGCCACUUGAUUUGAGGGAUAUUCAAAUAUAUUUCAAGCUGCCAGAUGGUACGUGGUUCAGACUGCGAUGCUGUGGGAUCAAUGGGGACGAAAACAGUGGCUGUUUCCUGCAUAUGUGAUGUCUUCUGAAGGUGCUCAUUGGGUUUCACCGUCACCCUGUGAAUCUGGACUUUAUUGCAGGAAUCCGGUGAUGUGACGAAAAGGAGGUCUGCACUGUGCCAGUCCUCAGGUCAGUCCAUUCCUUCAUUCGUUUGCUGGUUUGCUCAUUUGUUCGUUCCUUCAUUCCUUCCUUCUUUGGAAUUUCCCUCCCAGGUCUCUUGAACUGUAGCCUGAAUUUGUUAUGGAGCUAAGAAUACCCGUGAACCUCUCAUUCUUCUACCUCAGACUCACGUCUCCUAAGCACUGGGA